CCGUCAAUUCAUUUGAGUUUCAGUCUUGCGACCGUACUCCCCAGGCGGGGUACUUACUGCGUUAGCGACGGCACCGAGGGGGUCGCUCCCCCCGACGCCUAGUACCCAUCGUUUACGGCGUGGACUACCAGGGUAUCUAAUCCUGUUUGCUCCCCACGCUGUCGCGCCUCAGCGUCAGCAACGGCCCAGCUGGCCGCCUUCGCCACCGAUGUUCUUCCCGAUCUCUACGCAUUCCGCCGCUACACCGGGAAUUCCACCAGCCUCUACCGUGCUCAAGCCUGGCAGUCUCGAAGGCAGUGCUGCGGUUGAGCCGCAGCGUUUCACCUCCGACUUACCGGGCCGCCUACGCGCCCUUUACGCCCAGUGAUUCCGAACAACGCUUGCACCCUCCGUAUUACCG
rnacentral:misc_RNA from 1 species